AGAGUCACACAGGCUAGAGUGCAGUGGCAUGAUCUCAGCUCCCCACAACCUCUGCCUCCGAUGUUCAAGCGAUUCUCCUGUCUCAGCCUCCUGAGUAGCUGGAAUUACAGCAAUGAAUGAGAGCUCUCAUUACUCCCUGCUUUCACCAGCAUUUUGUGGUGUCCGUGUUUUGGAUUUGGUCAUUCUAAUAGGUGUGUAAUGAUAUGUCAUUAUUGUUUUAAUUUGCAACUUCCUCAUGACAUCUGAUGCUAAGCAUCUUUCAAUAUGCUUAUUUGCCAUCUGUGUAUCUUCUUUGCUGAGGUGUCUAGAUCUUUUGCCUAUUUUUUAAUCGGGUUGUUUUCUUAUUGUUGUGUUUUUUUGGAAUUCUUUGUAUAUUUUGGAUAGUAGUCCUUUAUCAGAUAUGUCUUUUGCAAAUAUUUUCUCCCAGUCUGUGUCUUGUCUUCUCAUUCUCUUGACAGUGUCUUUUGCAGAGCAGUUUUUUUUUUUUCCUUUCUGGAGAUGGGGGUCUCCCUAUAUCUCCCAGGCUGGUCUCAAACUUCUGGGCUCAAGCGAGCCUCCUACCUCUCUGGAGUAACUGGGACAAUGGAUGUGUCCUACUUCCAGCUUAGAAGUUUUUAAAUAUAUAUAUUUUUUGAGAUGGAGUCUCACUCUGUCACCCAGGCUGGAGUACAGUGGUGUGAUCUCGGCUCACUGCAACCUGUGCCUCCUGGGUUCAAAUGAUUCUUGUGCCUCAGCCUCCUGAAUAAGUGGGAUUACAGGCAUGCAUCACUAUGCUCGGCUAAUUUUUGUAUUUUUAGUAGAGAUGAGGUUUCACCAGGCUGGUCUCGAACUCCUGACCUCAAGGGAUCCACCCACCUAGGCCUCCCAAAGUGCUGGGAUUACAGGCAUCAGCCACUGUGCCCAGCCUAGAAGUUUUCAGUGUUAAUGUACCCCUGAUUAUUAAUUAUUUCUUUCAUGGGUUGUGGCUUUGGUGUUAUAUCUAUAAAGUCAUCACCAAAUUCAAGGUCAUCUAAAUUUUCUCCUAUGUUAUCUUCUAGGAGUUUUAUAGUUUCUGUGAUCCAUUUUGAGUUAAUUUUCAUGAAGGCUAUUUUUGUGAAUGUGUCUAGAUUUUUUUUUUUUGGCAUGGGAGUGUCCAGUUGUUCUAGCACUAUUUGUUGAAAAGGCUAAAUUGUCUCCAUUAUAUUGCCUUUCCUCCUUUAUCAACAAUCAGUUAACUACAUUUAUGUGGGUCUAUGUCCUGCUCACUAUUCUAUUCUGUUGAUCUAGUUACCUCUUCUUUUACCAAUACCACACUGUCUUAAUUACUGUAGGUUUAUAGUAAGUUUCGAGGUAAGAUUGUGUCAGUUCUCUGAUUUUGUUUUUCUCCUUCAAUAUCAUGUUGGCUAUUCUGGGUCUUUUGC
rnacentral:lncRNA from 10 species